GGAGGCCGAACCCAAGAGCACAACUGCAUCUCAAUCCAGGGUGGAUUUGCACUGCCACUGCUGAGCCAUAGAAACUGCUGACAAACACUGAAUGACACGAGGAGCUCAGACCUCUUCUCCUGGCCCAAUCCUGCCGGGCUCAGCACUGCUGGGUGCGUUUGCAAGGAGAAAACAUCCCCCCCCCCCCCCCCAAAUCCCACAGAGCCGGGAGGAGGCGGAAGCAUCACCUUUGGAACGGGGAUGCGGAGGGUAACAGCAUCCCUGCUCUUUAGUUCCACAUCCAUGGAUGGGGAUGGAGCCAGGGUGGCUGCAGUGGGGUGGGGGGAUGCAUCCCUAUGGGCUUUGAAGGCAUCUUGUAGCGAGCUCUGUGUCGAUCCCUGUGUGUAAAUGCUGCACCUCUGUAUCCCCUGCACAUCGACGUGUGUGUGUCUUGAAGCUAGGACAGACCUCAGCACCCAUCAGGUAGCAACAGCCCCCCCCAACCUCUGCCGUGUCGUCGUGUGCGUGCAAAGCGGUUUCGUGUGUGGGUCCCGAGGAGGGGGACGCAAGAGGAACAAAGCCUUACUCGACCCAGUCCCAUCGGUAGUGUUCGUCCACUUGAAACCAAUAAAGUGAAACGCAUGGAAA